AAUGAGAUUUAUAGUGAAAUUUUCAAAAUUAAAUAAGAAUAAUUUAGUAAAAUAUUUUAUUAAACUAGCUUAUAAGUAUCAAAAUAAAAAGUUGAGUCCUCUAACUUAUUUUUUUUAGCUUAAAAAAUUAUUAUAAAUAAACAUGUCAAUAUAUUCUUAGAGCUGGAUAAAGUUUGAUAAUUAUUCCUGAAUUUAUCUAGUUAUAAUAUUACAGUCUCUCAACUUAA
rnacentral:misc_RNA from 1 species